rnacentral:lncRNA from 1 species
UUUAUAUUCUUACUGUCUUUACAUAGAAUAUAAAUGUCCAUCUCUAUUAGUAUAAAUAGAAUAUAUGAAUAUGCUUCAAAAUCAGUUUCUGUUUCAAUGCUCAUUUUAACUUGCCUUUAAUAAUCUUUUCAUAGGAUUUCAAAAAGUCUUCAUCCAUUGUGAAGUUUUCAAGAUCAAGCCCACUCCAACACAACUAGCUAUUGGUGUUCAUUCCAAGCAUGGCUAUGAAAGAUGCUGCCUGAGAUUGGAGCCACAGACACUAGGAAGAUACCAGCUACUAAGAGGGAGUGUGCCAGUACUUCGGCCACCACCAGCUGCUCCCAGCAUGUGCAUUAGCAGGAAGCAGGAUUGGAAGCAGAGGAUCUGGGACUUGAACCAGGCACACCAAUAUGGUUUAUAUGUGUUCCAAGAGGCACCUUAAUGACUGAGUAAAAUGCCUGCCUUAAAAACAAAUAAAAAAACCUUUGGGGCUGGCUUAAUUCA